UGCGGAGCGCCGGCCUCGCCCCGCUAUUUAUGGGGCGUCACCGCCGCCGCGCGUCACGGCCGGCGCGGGGCGGGCCCGGACACGUAGUGACCGCACCGGCGGUCAGCGGGAGGGCAUUGCCCUGUCCGGGAGCGCCUUACUGAGGGGAGCUCGUGUGCGACCGGUCCUGCAGAAGGCCGGUUCACUGAAGCACAGAAUAUGCUGCGUUGGAAGAGACCCACAGGAUCAUCGAGUCCAGCUCCUAGCCCUGCACAGGGCAGCCCCAAGAGUCACACCGUGUGCCUGAGAGGACUGUCCAAACGUUUCUUGAACUCUGUCACGCUGGUGCUGUGACCACUGCUCUGGGGGGCGGGGAACUUCCCUAUUCCUAGAGAGCAGUGGUGUGGUCCAUGUCAAGAUUGAUGAAGAGGAAGGCAGAAGAGUAUCAAGAAAAGCAGUAGUAACAGAUAACACAAAAGCAUGACACACCAGCCUUUCCUAAAAGAGGAAGGCAAUAAUAGUAUAUACCCUACCCUUCUCUUCCAUGAGGCAAGGGCAGAUGUUUAAAGUCACAUAAUGCAUUUAAGAAGUUUCAUUCUUUCAAGAAGUAAUUCACAGUAAUACAUCAGCACAUUCAUCCAUCCAAGUCCAUUUAAUUAACAUUUUGGAAAAUAAGUCCACCUACAUAUCCUUAACUGCAGAAAAAAAAAUUUAAAGAUAUGAGUUAAUUGACCAGACAAUAAGCCUAUCUAUCCUUCC